CCAGGAGGUUGGCUUAGAGGCAGCCAUCCUUUAAAGAGUGCGUAACAGCUCACUGGUCAAGCGAUUCUGCGCCGACAAUUCAACGGGGCUCAAGCCUGCCACCGAAGCUACGAGCAGGGCGGGUCACACCGUCCUGCGGUAGGGGAGCAUUCGGCCCUAGAUCGAAGGUAGACCGCGAGGACUACUGGACGAAGCCGAAGAGAUAAUGCCGGCACGAGUAGCGAUAAACCAGGUGAAAAACCUGGUCGCCGAAAGCCCAAGGGUUCCUGGGGAAGGUUAAUCCGCCCAGGGUUAGUCGGGACCUAAGCUGAGGCCGACAGGCGUAAGCGAAGGACAACAGGUUAAUAUUCCUGUACCGCCGUGGUGACGUUACGAGCUAUGGGGUGACGCAGAAGGUUAGGCACCGCCCGCGAUUGGAAGUGCGGGUCCAAGCGCGUAGGGAGCUCCGAUAGGCAAAUCCGUCGGGGCGUCAAUCCUGAAACGUGAUGGGGAGGCCUUCGGGCCGCAAACGGGCCGAUACCCCGCUGCCAAGAAAAUCCUCUAUGCCAGUUGCCAAGGCGCCCGUACCGUAAACCGACACAGGUGGGCGAGGAGAAUAUCCACAGGCGCUCGGGAGAACUCUCGUGAAGGAACUAGGCAAAAUAACCCCGUAACUUCGGGAGAAGGGGUGCCCCACUAAGGUGUUGAGCCUGAAGGGGUCGCAGAGAAUUGGGUCAAGCGACUGUUUACUAAAAACACAGGACUCUGCCAACUCGUAAGAGGAGGUAUAGGGUCUGACGCCUGCCCGGUGCCGGAAGGUUAAGGAGAGAGGUUAGCCGCAAGGCGACGCUUUGAACCGAAGCCCCGGUAAACGGCGGCCGUAACUAUAACGGUCCUAAGGUAGCGAAAUUCCUUGUCGGGUAAGUUCCGACCUGCACGAAUGGCGUAACGACUUGGCCGCUGUCUCCGCGAGAGACCCGGUGAAACUGUAGCGCCAGUGAAGAUGCUGGCUACCCGCGACUAGACGGAAAGACCCCGUGAACCUUUACUGUACCUUGGCAUGGAGUUUUGGCGGAGUCUGUGCAGGAUAGGUGGGAGGCUUUGAAGCCGGAGCGCUAGCUUCGGUGGAGCCGUCGUUGAGAUACCACCCUGACUGUGCUGGAGUUCUAACCUAGGCCCGUGAUCCGGGUCGGGGACAGUGCCAGGUGGGCAGUUUGACUGGGGCGGUCGCCUCCCAAACGGUAACGGAGGCGCUCGAAGGUGGGCUCAGCACGGUUGGAAAUCGUGCGUCGAGUGUAAGGGCAGAAGCCCGCUUAACUGCGAGACCUACAAGUCGAGCAGGUGCGAAAGCAGGACCUAGUGAUCCGGUGGUUCCGAGUGGAAGGGCCAUCGCUCAACGGAUAAAAGGUACUCCGGGGAUAACAGGCUGAUCUUGCCCAAGAGUUCAUAUCGACGGCAAGGUUUGGCACCUCGAUGUCGG
rnacentral:rRNA from 1 species